rnacentral:lncRNA from 1 species
UUCCAGAUGUGAGCCCCAGGCCAGAUGUGAGGACCCCCACCCACAGUCUGAGCCUAUCCCAUAUCUUUAUGCGUCCUGUCCUCUCCCACCAGGUGUAGAGAGUCUUGGUGUGAUAUGGUGUCUUCAGGUGUAAGCCCCUCAGUCUCCUCUCCAGAAUUCAGUUCCUCUAAUUCCUUUAUGUGCCCCGUGCACUGACCCUUCUCAUCACCCACAGAUGUGCCAUCUCGCUGCCCACAUGGGCCAUUCUUGUCCUUUAUCUAAAUGAAGCUUCUUUUCCCCGUGUGCCUCGUCAGAGGAUCAGCCUUUAGCUGGCUCCCCAAAUACGGCCCCCAUUACGCUAAUAGAUUUCCUCUCAAUGGAUUCAACUCUCUCUGGGGGCAAACCCGCCCGCCCCCACCUGUUCCUUUCCCUGCUACUCCCCUAAAGGCCCCAUCCACUUGUUGGAACACGGGUGGGAGCAGAGGGGGCGCCCUCCCCUUCCCCCUGCGAGUCUAGCGCCCAGCCUUCGCGCCUCUGGCUAAGCGCCCAGCCCCACGCGCCCCC